rnacentral:lncRNA from 1 species
UAAACAAGGUAGACUACUCCCAAUAUCAUUAGGCACUUCCUCUAUAUUGCUGUCCGCCAAAAUUAAGCUUGUCAAAGAGCGUAAACCUUGUAAGGAAGGUAGCUGCAAAGAACACUUCAAUUUACUCAAAGAUAAGAGCUCGAGCUUCUCUAGUCGUACGAUGGAAGGUGGUACUUUUUUUAUGGCCGUCCCAUUUGCAUAAAGAGUGACCAAUGAUGCCAUUUCUCCCAAGUGCUCAGACAAGCUUUGGAAUCUUGAACAACCAUCGAGAACAAGAGUUUUGACAGAUUUCAACUUGUAGAAACUCCUCGGAAGAGCCUUAAGCGUUUCACAGUCUUUCAAAUUCACCAACACAAGACUCUUGAGAUCUCCGAUGGACUUGUGAACUUUAGCCAACCUCUUACAGUCUUUGAGUAUCAAUUUCUCAAGAUUUGGGAAUUUCAAAAAGUCUGGCGAUUGUGUUAGAUCGUGGGAGUGGCUGAGAUUUAGAAUCUUCAACUUAUCAAGCAACUGUUAAGAAAAAUCAAAUUUAAAUAAAAAAUUUAAGUCCAAAAAGAAGAUACAAAGAGCAUAAAAAUAAUUCCUAAUUUGGUUCAGGUUACGCAUUGUACUUACCCCAGAUACUCACAAAGAACUUGUCUGAGGCUGCUGUACUGCAUGUCGAUAACAACUAUGUUUGGUUGACACAGUUCUAUUGGUAUGAACUCCAAUGGGAAUCCAUGCCAGCACAACCAUCUUAAUUUUUUGGAAAGACAUUGGUAUCCCCCAGUGAGCCGAACGUAGUUUAGUUGGAGCAAUCUCAGUCUCUUCAUAUUUCUAAACGCCUUAGUACUGAAACUAGUCUCUUCAGGACUUGGCAAAUUCAAAGCCAGACCUUCAAUUUUUUCAGUUCCCUGCUAUCCGAAAAAACAGACUCUAAAUAAGAGAAGGCUUUGCAUGAAAAAAAGUUAGAUUACUAACUUACAUAUGCUUACACGUUUAACAUAAAGUUUGAUUGGGAAAGUACUUACAAAUUUGUCUAUCAAUACAUCAUUUACAUCUUCAGGAUGCCACAAUCUACUCCGUUCUCUAGGGAAAUCGGGAUUUUCUGCAUGCACGAUAUCUCUGCCCAUAUCCCGAAGCAAAUCAUGCAUCAUAAUCUUGUUUUCUCUAUUAAUAGUCACAAGGCACCGGUUAAAGAGGACCUCGAUUCCUGUUGUUGCAUAAAAGCCACAACCAUCCAAGAUUUGCACGACAUCGUUCUUGUCCAUUCCGAUAAAAAAACAAGCUAUAUCGAGGAAUAUCCGCCUCUUGUAAUUAUCAUUUAGCCCGUCGUAGCUUAUUUUUAGUUGUGCCUGAAUUUCUCCACGAGGAAUCAUUUUCAAUUCAUCCAAUAUACUUCUCCAUUCAUCUACGCUUCGUUUGAAAAGAGUAGAUCCUAAAACUUCAAGAGCCAGCGGCAAUCCUCCACAGUAAUUGACAACUUCUCUUUCAAGCACAAGAUAUUGACUAGGACAACUACUACUUCUGAAAGCAUGCCAACUUAGGAGCUCAAGAGCUUCUUCUUGGGCCAUUACUUUCGCCCGAUAUAUCUUUUCAACUGCAAAUUCUUUUAGCACACGUUCGUUUCUAGUUGUGAUGAUGAUUCUGCUUCCCGGGCCAAAAGAGUGGCAAUUUCCAGUUAAUUCGCGUAGCUGUUUCACAUCAUCUACAUCAUCAACUAUGACAAGUACCUUUAAGCGUUGAAAUCUUUCCCUUACCAAGGCGGUCCCUACAGCAACACUGCUUACCUUUGUCUUGGUUUGCAAGAUAUCGAAAAGAAGUUGUUUUUGCAAUUUUUCUAGUUUCUUUUCCCUCACUUUUUCAAGGAAACUUUUACCUUCAAACCUUUCAUAAAAUCUGUUAUAAAUGGCUUUAGCAAUCGUUGUUUUACCUAUUCCACCCAUGCCCAAAAUUCCGAUCACACGAACAUCAUAUGAAUCUCCGAUGCCUAAAUAAUUAUUGAUAUCCAGCACUCGAGUAUCUAUUCCGACUUGAUAGGGCGCUACGUCGAAGUAUUUGUUGUUCAACUUCGUAAUGACGUCAUUGGUAAUCAUUCUGAUAAACUUUGCUUCAUGCCUGGCAUUAGUCAAGUUGAGAAGCAAAACAAAGAUUGUUAUACAACGAAAUUGAACUAAUUAAUAAACAAAAUUAUUUAUCAUGCUAGAGAUUUUAAUUAAGACAAUUUUUUUUGAGGUGGUGUGUUUAAACUUAGCAAACAUCAAUUAAAAUUAAAAUAAGAAACACAAACAAAAAAACCAGCAUCCCUUCCCUCCGCAGCCAGUCGCCGGCGGCUUCCCAGCUGUGAUUAGUGUAGCCUUAACAGUUUAAGCUUUAUUGUAUGAUUUUAUUACAGAGGUCUAAGAAAUCGCAUGAUUCCAAAUUAACAAGCAAAGGUACGUUAAAGCCUUAAUUCAUAAGAAAAGAAAUUAGUAAGUACCCGUCCAAAGUGUUUCUGCGAUCCCAGCCAGACAAAUUCGAAGCUUCAGUAAGAGCAGCUCUCCACCUCUCUACCUUUUUUUCAUCUGUAUGUUUCAGAAACGAUUGUGCAAAACUACCAGUCUGUUUCCUGACAUGCGAAGGAUCAACGUCAUAGAAUAUUGGCAAAACUAAUUGCCCUAGCGUUCUUCUACACUCCAUGAUCUUAACCAGCUCCUCAAGACACCAACUGGAGUCCGAGUACCGUCUUGAGAAGACGAUGAUAGAGAUCCUAGAACCUUGGAUUGCCUGCACAAGUUCGCUAGUUAUAUCUUCUCCUCUUCUUAGUUCGUCGUCAAUAAAGGCGUUGAUUCCGGCCUUUGUCAAUGCUUCGUAGAGGUGGCCCGUGAAGUUUUUACGUGUGUCUUCGCCUCUAAAGCUUAUGAACACUUCGUAGAGCGAGCCUUUUGAGAAGGAGGACAAGGACGGGGAGGCGGAGGAGGACGAUGAGGAUGAGAUUGAGGGUGAGGAGGUGGAGGAGGACGUUGAGGAUGAGGGCGAGGAGGAGGACGAGGACAAGGACGAGGUUUUAUCGGGGACGGAGAUAUUCAUUUGGCGAAAGACGAGGCCGAGGGAGCAGAGGAGGAAGAUGAGGACAUCAAAAACAAGACCGGAAUUGCGAUGUGCAUAGUGGUAGGACUGUAACACCAGCACCAUAAUUAACAGCUUCCCUAAGCUCGACCAGUUAUCCAUUGCCUUCAAUUUCUUUAGGCAAAUUGAAGGUUGUUUGGCGAUAUUGAUUUUUUUCUACCGGAACUACUUUCUUCUUCUUAUAAUUAAUCAACCCGCCUAGGCAGUGCAGUUGACUGUGGACUUGAGUAUUGGUAAAUUGACUUAUGGUCCUACACCCUAAAUUCUACGAGGUGCUCUUUUUUCUUCCACUAUAAAGCCAAAUUAGACACAGUAAAUUGACUUGUGGUCCUACAUCCUAAAUUCCAGGAGGCGCCCUUUUUUUUCCACCUUAUCGCCAAAUUCUACGCGGUGUUUUAUGGUUCACACAAUGAUGAGAGAUUUUUCAGUUUAUAGGAACACAGUCCAGUACACUGUACACCACUUAUAAAACAACUUCAAGAGGGCUAGUUUGAAAAUAUCCUACCGCAAAAUUUGAUUUGGUUUGGACCAAAUUUUGAUUUAGAUGAAAACUAGCAAGAGUGUCCGCGCGUUGCUGCGGGUGUUUAAAAUGUUUUGAUAAUAUGUACAUACAGAAAACAUCAUUUAUUAAAGCUAGACUUCUAUACCUAAGAUAGAGGUUGACAGUGAUCGUAAUUAUCAAAAGUUAGCAGUGUCCAACUGCUCACUGUUCAAAAGAUAGAGAUGCUAUAAAAGCUUAAUUCAUGUACAUAAGUUCAUAGUAUCAUGUACUCAAAAUAAUCAUAGUAUCGAAAGAUUGGCAGUCUUCAACUGCUCAUUGUUCAAAUACGAAAAUAUACAUAUGUCCAUAUCAGAAGGUUGGCACCGCACAUCUGUUGUGUUUAUGUUUUUCCUGUUCAAUCUCUGGUCUUGCUUGUUUGGGAAUGGCCAUCCUUUUUCUUGGCCACCAUGCUGUUGAAUUGGUGCCUAUUCUUUUUUGCUUUGCCCAUGAUUUUUCUCUUGCUAUAUAUUACGAAUUGGAAUUAGUAAGAAUUCCAUAUAAAAAACUAAAUUUGUCAAUCUAUUUAACCAAGAAGUAUAAUCCAGCAAGGUUAUUUUCUCUUUGUUUUUAUCAAAAUGAAUUCCACUGUUCCCAUCUAUUUGCACAUCCCUUUAAAUAAUCCAAAAACACAAAAGAAAUAUAUCUUGAUCCGUACCAAUUAAUGAUUUCCCAUUUACUUAAGUCAAACGUAGCCAAUGAAUUGAUGAAGGAGCUAAAAAAGAGAGACAAAAAAAAAAAAAAUCUCUAUUAUUCAAUUAUAUGGAGAUUUACCUGAUUGUACAAAAGGUUUGAAAAUUACCGUAAAAUUUGAAAUAAGAGAUGAGAUGGAGUGGAAAUCACAUACCAGCAUCAGGCUUAAAUUUGUAGUGCUCAUCUAAGAGAGCAGUGAUAGUGUUGAUGAGAGUGUAGGGAGAGAAACACAAUGCAAAUUGUAAGAGUUUGAGAGAAACCGCUUGAGGGACACUGCAGAUUGAUCGUUGAGAUUUGAGAAACCGAGGAAGUUGCAAUUUGAGACGAACUGCUUUGCAUCAAACGUGGUGGAGUUUCUCUCCUCCACGUUUGAAUAGAAGAGGUAGUUUCAGAGCUGUCUACAAUUAGUCCUAUCAGGAGCUUCUGCACUGGUUGAUGUCUUGGUCUUUUCCUUAGUCGCAUAUGCAUUGUAGACUUGGGUAGAUGAAAAGUAGAAAGAAAAUAAAAAUAUAAAGUCAAAGUUACUACUUAACUAUCUAUGUUGAUUCAUGUCCCACGCAUAAUAAGAAUGGUGAAUCAUUUUUCAUCUCGUGCACUGAUUUGUCAUUGUCAUUCGAAUUCACAAGUCAAUUUACUCCGAAUUUCUUAGUUAUCACCAGGGAAAGAAAAGUUAUAAGCAAAAUUCUAUUUCUAGAUUUUCUCACUAAACUACCUGUUAAACCAUGGUAAAUCAAAAUGGGAAAAAAUUAUAUCUACCUUUGUCAAACCUCUUGGGAUUCAAGUCCACCCGACUCCACCCCAAUACUCAGUGGCGCCCCAGAAAUCUUGCACCUUCAGUAGCCAAGAUCAUGCAUGUAUCAGUAUGAAUACGGAAGAGAAAAUAAAUGCAAUUUAUUAGAAUAAAGAAUAUGGGAUCAACAAAGUUUGUCCCAACUUACAGCGAGGCCAAUAAACAGCAACUGAAGAUAAUUUUUCGUUUUGCUACAUGAGGGGGGCACCCAAAAAUCCAAACCUGUCGAUACGGCACAACUGAGGAUGCCAACUUUAUCCAACUGAGCAAGGGGCUUGAUCUUGGAAAGACGGCCAUAAUGAACAACAAUGUAUUCACUUAAGUAAAAGUGCCAAGACGGUGAUUGGUGAACGUUAUUUCCCAACUGGGUUAGUUUGGCUAUUCCUUUCUAUUGAAAAGGAGUUAGCUGUCUGCGUGAGUCACCACAUUUUGCUUCAUGGCAAAAAUUUGAGGGAUCAAUAGUGUAUGGCCCUGAAUCCCAAAAGGAAAAAAUAACUCAACUAAGUAUAUACAAAGGGUAAGAUCAACAACAUUCCAUAGAACAAUUAAACGCCACUCUCUCAGUUUCGAGUACAACUGCACUUUGUGAUUAAAAUUCACACAUGUUUCACAUAUGCUAAGAACUAAUGUUCCUUAGGUUUUUCAUCACGAACGACAUUUGCAAUCUACUUUUCGAUUUCAAACCUUAAUUAUUCAUUGCCCAUUAAGAAAUGACUAUAUUUCAAACCUUAAUUUUAUAAUCCAAUGGUUUAUUCCUUCACAUGGAUAUUUGAUAUUGAUUUUCAUUUUUUCUACCGGAACUACUUUCUUCUUCUUAUAAUUAAUAAACCCGCCUACGCGGCGCAGUUGACUGAAGACUUGAGUCUUGGUAAAUUGACUUGUGGUCCUACACCCUAAAUUCUACGAGGUGCUCUUUUUCUUCCACUAUAAUGCCAAAUUAUACACGGCGUUGACUUGUGGUUCUACACCCUAAAUUCUAUGAGGCGUCCUUUUUAUUCUACCUUAACGCCAAAUUCUACACGGUACCUUAUGGUUCACACAAUGAUGAGAGAUUUUUCAAUUUAUAGGAACAGUCCAGUACACUGUACACCACUUGUAAAACAACUUCAAGAGGGCUAGUUUGAAAAUAUCCUACUGCAAAAUUUGAUUUGGUUUGGACCAAAUUUUGAUUUAGAUGAAAGCUAGCAACAGUGCCUGCGCGUAAUGUUUUGAUAAUAUGUACAUACAGAAAACAUAAUUUAUUAAAGCUAGAUUUCUAUACCUAAGAUAGAGGUUGACAGUGAUCAUAAUUAUCAAAAGUUGGCAGUGUCCAAUUGCUCACUGUUCAAAAGAUAGAGAUGCUAUCUAUUAGAAUACGGAAGAGAAAAUAAAUGCAAUUUAUUAGAAUAAAGAAUAUGGGAUCAACAAAAUUUGUCCAAACUUACAGCAAGGCCAAUAAACAGCAACUGAAGAAAUUUUUUUGUUUUGCUACAUGAGAGCGGCACCCAAAAAUCCAAACCUGUCGAUACAGCACAACUGAGGAUGCAAACUUUAUCCAACUGAGCAAUGGGCUUGAUCUUGGAAAGAUGGCCAGAAUAAACAACAAUGUAUUCACUUAAGUAAAAGUGCCAAGACAGUGAUUGGUGAAAGUUACUUCCCAGCUGGGUUAGUUUUGCUAUUCCCUUCUAUUGAAAAGGAGUCAGCUGUCUGAGCGAGUCACCACAUUUUGCUUCAUGGCAAAAAAUUUGAGGGAUCAAUAGUGUAUGGCCCUGAAUCCCAAAAGGAAAAAAUAACUCAACUAAGUAUAUAUAAUAUUAAACAUAUAAAGGGUAAGAUCAACCACAUCCCAUAGGAGAACAAUUAAACGUCACUAUCUCAGUUUCGAGUACAACUGCACUUUGUGAUUAAAAUUCACACAUGUUUCACAUAUGCUAAGAACUAAUGUUCCUGUAGGUUUUUCAUCACGAAUGACAUUUGCAAUCUACUUUUCGAUUUCAAACCUUAAUUAUUCAUUGUCCAUUAAGAAAUGACUAUAUUGCCCGGAAACUCUACUCAUAGUUUAUAAAUCUGCAAUUUUCAAAGCUUAAGCAUCUUAAGCAUCUUAAUUGGAUUCCCUACAAUUUGGUGGAGGUUGAAUGGAUUUUUCCUCCCAUUAUACCCUCGGAAAAUAUAAAUAAUCAUUGGAGACUGAGCAACACACACUCAUAAACAUAAUGCAUACAGAAGAAUAAAAUUGACAGAAAACAGAUCAAUGCACAGAGAGAUAGAGGCAUAAAGAGAGAACUUACAUCAGCUGUGCUCUCAAAUACAUAUGGUAAUCUGCAUACGAAGAAACAUAAUACUGAAACAGUUAUAAAUCAUCCUAUUCAAAUAAAUCAAACGAAAUGCAUAAAGAUUACCUUAGUUUCUGAUUCUAUGAUUAUGUAUUUGACUCCACCUCCACGUUGUUCUUUGGUUGUCUCUUUUACUGAAUUAAGUAAUCGACUGAAUUACUUAAUUCAACUGAAUUUAAUUAGAGAGAUGAAAGCUUCGGUAUAAAAUAAUAUUUUAUGCUCUACACGCAUAGCAAAUCAUCAGUAACCUCCAAGAACCUAAUUGUACGAUAAACACUCUAGCAUUAACUACCCAAGAAUUAUAAUCAUGCUUAUUGCCAAAAAUGAUAAACAUGUUUACCUUGACUUCAUUUUUAAUGGCAUAUGUAAUAUACUUUCCAUCUGCAUUAAAAUAACCUACUUCGUUCUCCUCGUUAAUCAAGUUGAAAGGUUCUGUUUAAAUCCCAUCCACAACAAAGUCCUUGUAAUCCUGCCAAAAGAUACCACCAAUCAAUGGCUAUCGCUUCCAUUGAUCCAAUUAGAAGAAGUAUCCAACAAUCUCCUCGACUGAAAAAAUUCUUGCCAAUUUAGAAAAGAACUAUUCCAAAUUACGGAUGUACUCGAUUAAUUUAACCAAGAAUAUGCACGGCACCACCACUAUUAAGAAGCAUCAACAUACAAAGACAAAAGUUUCUACAAUCAGUUGUUAAAUUGCAAUCAAAAACAUGCAUAGAAAGAAUAAAAAUGAGAACAAAGAUGGCAAAACAAUUAACCACACAUGUUGUUUAUCCAAAAAUGCUGAGAGCUUAUGCUUCUGUGACACAACGAGCUUCCUGCAUCACAUAUACUAGAUCAAGUAGGCGUCAUGACAUAAAUUGAAAAGCAGACAAGAUCAAGAAGAUCCAAAAUUAUUGAUAUAUAAUUAUAGUAAAUAAUUGCACAUCAAAAACUCUAGAGGAAGAUAGAUGAAUCUCCAUAUCAAGAAACCAAAGAACAUGACACUACUAAGGACCGUUGCUUCACAUGCAUAUCUGCUACUAUUUUAAAACAAUUAUGUUAGAACAAGUAUAAGAGAGAGGACAAAGUACUACUGAACCGAAAAUGAAAAGGGGGAAAACCUGGAAUGCCAUGCAGUGCCGAAAUCACUACUUAGCAACAAAAGUGCCCUGCUAUGCUUCAUGACGUCACUUUCAAAACUAUUAUCCAAAGAUAAUGACACAUACAAAGACUUCUCAUCCCCAGAUACAUCUGAUCUGCUGUUAAGUGCCUUAUAUUGUCUACUUGCUGCCAUAAACGCAUGCUUAGCAGCCUCAUACAACCGAAAAAGAACUUGCGUUGAAAUCCCCAACUUAUGAUCCCUAUUCCAAAAAACUGAGUUGCCAGCAGCUGAGCGCAGCACCGUUGUCAUCAGAUGAGGGUGAGGAAUGGCCUGCCUCUUUAUUCAGCUUGGAAAACUGGGACGGGUGAAGAAAUCCCACUUCAUCUUUGGGUUCAAUCAAGAGGAAAGAACAAUAUAUAAGACGACGGCAUUACUACAUAUUCCAAAAAUAUAACUGAGAACCCUUCCAAAAUUAAAAAAAAAAAGAGAGCACCUCUACACAAAAUCAUAAUGCACCCACAAUUACACACACACACCAAAUUCAAAAACUUAGCAUAAGAAUAAGGCAUACUUGGACCGUUAUCGAAAUCCCAGCCUCAGUAACAGUAAUGAACUAACACUGAAUCCACGUUUUGAAUUUGAACUAACACUGAAUGGACAUUUUCCAAAAAAAUAUGAAUCCAAGUAAAAUCAAGCUGUUACUUUUACAUAUGCAUGGAUCAACUCAUGCGGGAUCAAAUAUCUGUACUUUUCGACACGGAAAUUACACUUUGUGAAGGUUCACCAACCAAGCACGAAUAAAACCUAUAUAUACAAAACUCUAGUGGCAUUUCACCGAACACAAAGUCUGCGUCUUUACUGAAAACAGAGAAGCUAAACCUGCAAUCACUGAUUAUCUACUAACAUACAAGUACGAAUUACUUACAUUUGGGGAUCGGAUUCCAAGAUACGUUCGAAUUGAUUCAGAAGAUCGACCGUGUUUGCUUCGGAACGACGCAGCUCCUCUCCUUCCAUAUUUUCUGUUUGUUUCCCGAGAAAAUCCAAGGGAAAAAGAAAACCCUAGGGAAAAUGACAGCUUUAUACGAUGUUGGAACAAAAUGGUAAAUUAAUUUAAAAAAGAACUACGUGGAAGUUUUUUAUUCUUUGUUGCAAUAAGUUGCAGGAAAAAGUAAUGAUGCUGGCCGUAGAUGAUCCAGUUUUGGGCCAAUGUCACACUGACACGUAUCCACCUUCUUCGACUCUUCUUCUCUUGUGUAAAAUUUUGGAGCUGCUAUGGCUAUUCUCUCUCUACAAAUCUCUCUCUCUCUCUCUUCUGAGCAUCAAUCGCCGAAGGAUUUUCUCUCAUUUUCCCUCACUUUCUCUCCCGUUUUCUCUCUCGCCAAACACUCCAGUUCCUCAAGGAUCUGAGGUUUCUUCCACUUCAAAUCUCACCUUUUUUUUUUCUCUUCGAAUCGGGCAAAAAGGCAUUGAUUUGAAACGAAUAUUAUAAUAGAAAGGAAAGAGCUUUGGGGGGAUUCGAAUUUCCGAAUCUAGGGUUCCGUGAUCUGUAUAUGCGUCCGAUGACUAUGGGAAUCGUGGUGGAAGCGGCGUCGUUUGACGCCGAGCUGUUGCAGCUCAAUGAGGUGUCCCCUUUGGCCCUCAAAUCGAAUCCGAGCUCAAUGAGGCAUUGAUUUGUAAUUAGUUGUUGGAAAUGCUAAAGUUUAUAUAUAUAUAUUUUUUAAUUAGGAUACCUAUGAUUUACAUACUACAUAUUGUUUCAUCUUUUCGGAUGCAUGACAGUUUUUUUCAUUUUCCCGACUUUAUGGUUGCAGGUGACACAACUGCUAACUGAAGCAAAGGCAGGUAGGCCCCUGAAUGUUCAGGGAAAUUCUUCUAGUCCACAUGCCACUGCAGGCAGUACUUUGCCUUCUAUGUUUCCAGCAGGCAGUGCACCACCACUGUCACCAAGAAGUUCAUCUGGAUCCCCUCGCAUUAUGAAACAGAGGAUCGGUCCUUCUCAUUUAGGUUCUCCCCUGAAAGUAGUUAGCGAAUCAGUUAAAGAAGUGAUACCUAUUAAACUAAACAUGGUAAAUACCAAUAUUAAACUAAACAUGGUAAAUACAAAAAAUAUAUAUGAUAAUAUUUGGGAAUUUCUUAUAUAUUCAUUAAUCUUCAAAGUGGAGUAUAUAUAGGAGUUACAAUUGGUAUUACAUAUGUACUUCACCAAUGUGGGAACAAUAAACUGCUAUUUACACUUUAACUAAUGUAUAACUCGCAACACUCCCCCUCAAGUUGGUGCAAAGAUGUCACGCAUGCCCAACUUGUCAAGCGAGUCGGAAACGCACUAUUAGACACAGCCUUAGUAAGAGCAUCAGCAAGUUGAUCUUCAGAUCUCACAAACGGAAACAUAAUAAUUCCAGCAUCCAAUUUUUCCUUAAUGAAAUGUCGAUCAAUCUCCACAUGUUUUGUUCGAUCAUGUUGCACUGGAUUAUGAGCAAUCUCAAUAGCAGCCUUGUUAUCAUAAUGAAGUUUCAUAGCACCUUUGUGUUUAAACUCAAGAUCUCUCAACAAUUUUUCCAACCACAACAACUCACAUACACCAUGAGACAUACCACGAAACUCAGCUUCUGCACUUGACUUAGCCACCACUUUUUGUUUCUUGCUUAUCCAAGUAACUAAAUUACCACCCACAAACAUAAAGUAUCCAGAUGUAGAUCGCCGAUCAGUGAUAGAAUCUGCCCAAUUUGCAUCUAUAUACCCUUCGACAUUCAAAUGAUCAUUCUUGGAGAAAACCAGGCAUCUGCCAGGAGCCAUCUUCAAGUACCUCAAAAUACGGGUUACUGCAUCCAUAUGAGCUUCACUAGGUGAGUGCAUAAACUGACUUACCACACUAACUGCAUAAGCAAUGUCAGGGCGAGUGUGAGACAAAUAAAUUAAUCUCACCACAAGCCUUUGAUACCGUUCCUUAUGAGUAGGAACUUGAUCUGGAAAUAAGCCCAGACGAUGAUUCUGCUCAAUCGGAGUAUCAACAGGUUUGCAAUCUAACAUACAUGUUUCAGCUAACAAAUCAAGAACAUACUUCCUUCCAAGAAAAUACUUCAAUUCACCCAAUUCUUUCAUCUCAAACUCAGUAGCUAGGUACUUUUGAAGGUGCUGUAUCUCUUUCUGAUCAUCACCAGUCACUAUCAUGUCAUCAACAUAAAUAAUCAAUGCAGUUAGCUUACCAUUUUGUCGCUUUAGAAACAAAGUAUGAUCUGAAUGACUUUGGAUAUACCCAAACUUCUUCAUUAAACUUGUAAACCUCCCAAACCAUGCUCUAGGAGAUUGUUUCAAACCAUACAAGGCUUUUCGUAACCUGCAUACAACACCUUUUUCAGGAGACGUUCCAAUACCAGGUGGGAGAUCCAUAUACACUUACUCCUUAAGAUCACCUUGAAGGAAAGCAUUCUUAACAUCAAACUGCAACAGAGGCCAAUCCUGGUUUGCUACUAAGGACAGAAGAACACGCACAAUAUUAAGUUUGGCAACAGGAGCAAAGGUCUCCUGAUAGUCCACCCCAUAGGUUUGAGUAUAAUCCUUAGCAACUAAUCUGGCUUUAUACCGAUCAAUAGAAACAUCUACUUUGUGCUUAAUAGUAAACACCCAUCUACAUCCAAUGACUUUCUUCCCAUUUGGUAAUGGAACCAAAUCCUAAGUAGAAUUCUUUUUCAAAGCUUCCAUCUCAACUUUCAUGGCAUUAACCCACUUAGGGUCAGACAAAGCAUCUUGCAAUUUUGUUGGAAUUGAUACACUAGAUAGCUGACAUAUGUAAGAUGCAUAUGGUUGGGACAAACGAUGAGUAGACACAUAAUUGUUGAUAGGAUAUUUGGCUUUAACAUGCAUAUCAGGCUCAUAUUGUACUUUAGGUUUUCCACGAUUAGCUCGUGGAGGCAACUGAUAAGUAGAAGAAUCGUCAGAAUUUACCUCAUGUAUGCCACCAUCUUAUACCAAACUGUUAGAAGAAUCAUCACUGGACGAACCAUCAUCAGACAACUCGUUAGACAUAUCAGCAGCAGGCAACCGAUCAUCAGAAGGUAAUUCAUCAGACAUACUAACAGGCAAUUUGCUGGGCACAUCUGAUUUGUCGUUAGUAGAAAUAGUUCCGGGAAUGACAGGUGACCGAUCACUAUCUAUAACCGACUGAUUAGUAUCACGCAACAUAAUAGGUUAUGUUCCCAACUCUGUCUGUAACACAUCAUCCAUAUCAUCUCUUCGAAUCUGCACUUCACUCCUCCUCUCCCCCUGAAGUGGAAAGUCGGAAGAGGGCUUUACAAAAUACGAAACUUCCUCUUGGAAGGUGACAUCCAUGGUAAUAUAAGUUUUUUGAGUCGGAGGAUGAUAACACUUAUAGCCUUUUUGAUUGUUAGCAUACCCAAUAAAGACACACCGGAGAGCACAUGCAUCAAGUUUACUCCGCUGAUGAGAGUAGACAUGCACAUACACAAUACACCAAAACACUUUCGGAGGAAGCUUUGAGACAGAAACAAGAGAAACAUGUUUUUGUAGCACAUCAAACGGUGUCUGAAAAUCAAGAACCCUACUUGGAACACGAUUGAUCAAAUACACAGCAGCCAAAACAACAUGACCCCACAAAUGAUUAGGAACACAUUUAUCCAACAUCAAGGAGCGAGCAACCUCCAUUAUUUGACGAUUCUUCCGUUCGGACACACCAUUUUGUUGGGGUGUAAACGGAGUAGUUGUCUGGUGAAUCAUACCAUGAUCACGGAAAAAACAUGCCAAAAUGUGAUUCACAUAUUCUCCUCCGUUAUCAGACCUAAAGACCUUAACUUUGGUCUGAAACUGAGUAGACACCAUUGUACAAAAUUCUUGAAGAAGUAACGGAACAUCACUCUUAUUUUUCAUCAAGAACACCCAAGUUACCCGAGUACAAUCAUCAAUAAAAGUAACAAACCAACAGAAUCCAUUAGAAGUAACUUUCGCAGGACCCCACACAUCAGAAUAUAUCAAAUCAAAUGACAAAGUAGCUGUAGAAUCACUUACAUGAAAUGAAGCACAAUGACUCUUAGCCAUGACACAUGUUUCACACUUGAACUCUGAAUCACUACAAGUGCGAAACAAAGAAGGAAAUAGAUGCUUCAUAUAACUGAAUGAUGGAUGUCCUAAUCGUCGAUGCCAUAACCAAAUUUGAUGUCUGUCAUCCACUUUAGCUCUUAAACUUGAUGAUUAUUUGAACCGGAAACAACAGUAUCCUCCAUAGUCAAGAUGUACAAACCCCCUAUCCUUUUACCAUAACUAAUUAUCUUCUAAGUUUGAAUAUCUUGAAAAUAACAAUACGUAGGGUAGAAGUGAGCAGAACAAUAUAAAGUAUCAAGAAGUUUUCCUACCGACAAAAGAUUGUACUUAACAUCAGGAACAAGUAAAGCACGAACCAGUGAUAAGGUUGGAGUCAGAGAGAUAGUGUCUUCACCCUUCACAGGGGAAAGUGCUCCAUUUGCACUAGUAAUAUACGGAUCACGAACAUAGUCACAUAACUCAUCAAACACUCUAGGGUCACUAGUCACAUGAUCAGUGGCCUCAGUAUCAAUUAUCCAUUUAUUUGUUCCACCAAGAUGCAUAACAACACUAUGAUUAUAUUGAGCCAUUGAACAAAAUCACGAACAAUAAAAGCACAAAAGAUACGCAACGGAAUGAAAACAAUUUAUCAGAAUACUGUAGCAAUCACUGUUCACGGCACUGUAGCAAAGACUAUUCACGGCAAUGUAGCAAUCACUGUUCACGGCACUGUAGAAGACCACAGUUCACGCACUAUAGCAAAGCACUGUACUGUAGCCCGACACUUUUUUUUUUUUUUUCCCACACGGAGGAAAUCACGAAAAAUGUGGGCACAAAAUUAAAGCACACAGGUCACCAAGAGCGAACUGCUCUGAUGCCAUAUUAAACUAAACAUGGUAAAUACCAAAAAUAUAUAUGAUAAUAUUUGGGAAUUUCUUAUAUAUCCAUUAAUCUCCAAAGUGGAGUAUAUAUAGGAGUUACAAUUGGUAUUACAUACGUACUUCACCAAUGUGGGACAAUAAACUAUUAUUUACACUUUAACUAAUGUAUAACUCGCAACAAUACCUCAGGUUUGACAAAUCCUAAUCCUUUUCGGCAAUAAGAGUGGCACUAUUUUUUAUUUCUUUUGUUUUGCGUUGUAUUUGUCAUUUGAACUAUCUAGCUGUAAUGGUUUUCUUUAAUUAGAGGGAAAGGUAGGUUAUUAUUUCUAACUUGGAUUUUGUACCACUUGCAGUUUUACUUUCUAAAUGGUCGCCCGCCUCCAAAUGAACUAAAAGAUCAAUGCUUAUUAGAAUCAAUCAGUUUUUCUCUGGUAACUCAGACGGACUGCAGAUUCAUGGUGAGAUAUACUUAAGAUAUGAGUUUGUGUUGUACAACUAGAAUUAGCUUUUAACUGUCUCCUUGGUCGUACCCAGUGCACAAGGCUCCCGCUUUACGCAGGGUCUGGGAGAGGUGAAUGUCGGCUAGCCUUACCCCCAUUUAUGGAGAGGCUGCUCCCAAGUCUCGAACCCGAGACCUACCGCUCAUGGGCGAAGGCACUUGCCAUCGCACCAAGUGCGACCUCUAACUGUCUCCUUGGUGUAUCAGAAUUUAAAUCAGUUGCUAAGGAUAUAUGCAAGCGGCCCUCAUUCUUCUCCAUAUCUCUUUUCAGAAAAAUUGAUGCUAAGAGCAGUUCCAGCGUUGGCUGGUGCUCGGGGGAAAGGCUAGUGAACAGGGCCAGAUAGCCCGACUGAAGUGCUCCAGCGUGUGGGAACUCGAGGGACAGGGCAAGACUGAGCAACAAGCCCGUGAGGAAUUGCUAGCCCGCGAGCCCGAGUGGAUGUGACGCCAGGGCUGACGUCAUCCUGGCGUCAGCCCAAUUAUAUAUAUAUUUUUGUCAGGCGCGUGCCCCUCACCUGCACGUGGGGGCGCGUCAGCCAACACCUUUUCAGGAGCCGGGCCCACGUCACAAUUUGCCAAUGUUACUGUUGGAAAGACACGUGGCUUCCCACGGUCCGUUUGAUCUCAAUGGUCUAUUGGUAAUAUUCACUUUUUGUCAUUGCUUGUGAAAGGGUGUAGUUUCAAAGUUGUUAUCCCCACCCCCUUUCAAUAUCUUUCCUAGCUGUGGUUUAUCUUAUGUAACCACAACUAUUUUCCUUUACUUUUAAAAUGUCUCGAUUCUUGUUCACCAACCCUAUUACCCCACUUUAAGGUGCAUGAAUCUUUCUCUCUGAAGUGGAUAAACAAUGCCCUUUAUAAGGGUUGAUUGCGGAGAAGGGGUCAAGUAGCUUUCCUGGAGGCGCUUUUUUUUUCUGAGCUGACUUGUAGUGAACUCUUGGUUUAACUAAUAUUGUUACCUCACCUUACUAUAAAUUCUGGGUGGCCCCUGCUCUAGUCAUCCGGACAAGAAAACGGUACAGCUUGAGGAGAAGCUUGAGAUAGAUAUCAUCGGACUUGGGGCGCUUCGUCUUCUUGCUUUUACCUCCUGCCACGAGAACAAUCUUCAUUGUUGUUGCUGGUGUUGAAGUUCGGUUGCUCGGGACGCCUUUCGUUGGGCCUUUAUUUGGCCAAUUCAUUGAUCAAAUAUGGGAUCCUGUACUGCCAUAUGGUUGAGCCAACGAUGAAAACAGUAGGAGAAAAAGAGUGAACCCUCCCCCCCCCCAAAAAAAAAAAGUCUUGUACCCAUGAGAAAGGCUUGUAAUGGUACCAUCAUUGUUGGCAACAAUUUUUGCUGGUGGUGGUUACGACAAGGAAGUUGGGAACAAUGAUGUGGCUGAGGGCUUUGCAGAUCUUAUUGCUUAUGGUCCUUGGAUCUUGGCUAACCCAAACUUUUUUACUUUAUGUUUAUUCAGCUUUAAUUCUGAGGGUAUUUAAGUCUAUUUAAGUGGAUUUUCUGUUAUUUUUGAAAGAUUUUAUAAAAAAUGACAUUUAUGAAAUUGAGUGUUAAAUUUUGGCUAUUAUUGAUAAAAACUCAAUAAAAAUUAUCCCGUAAGUAUACAAGAUUAAGUUUAAGACGUCUUAAUAAUCAGAAGAUGCCUUUAUACAUUAUCCUUUCAUCAAUCAUGUUACAUGACAAAAAAAUGAGGUGUUGACUUAUAAGAACUAGCUAAAGGUAGCAUAUUCCUUUCUUUCUUUGUGGUUUCAACCUAUCCUUGCCCUCCUUACUAAAUCAUGUAACACAAAUGCUAUUCACACAUCCCAUUUUAUUUCUCACACAAAUCUUGAUAAUUUAUGUCUGUUGAUCUUCUUCAAUUCAUUUAAUCUGAUGGUCGAAAAUUAAAAGAGUAUGUAGGAAGUAAAAUGGAAUGUGUGGAUAUCACACCCCUAAAUUAAUUGCGACAAAAUAGAUUUUCAAAUACUUUUAUACAUUUGAGUUUGAGCUCUAUUUUUAUCAAUUACUUUAAUAAGUUGGCGACUACAUGAUGGGAGGAGGCAUGCGUUGAUGCUUAUAGUUGGCGACUACAUGAGAAGAAGAGGGAUUCUCUGAACAUAUUAAAAACCUUAAAUGCAUUAAUAAGUUAAAUUAAACCACCACAGAAACAAGAAAGUUCAAAAAGAGAGAGCAUAUUAUAAACAGAUCAAGGCAUGCAAAAAAAUACACUCUAUCUGCAAACUAGCUGAUUAAACCAGAAAGUUUCCUAGCUUACAUAGUCGUCGUCGUCUUGGGCCUCCUCAUCAUCACCCUCUUCAUUAUCAUCCGCAACUUCUUGGUCCUGAUCAUCGUCUUAUUCCGCCUCGUCCUCAUCAACACCCUCAUCAUUAGCAUCAGCACAUUGUUGGUCCUCAUCAUCGUCUUGUUCCUCUUCCUCCUCAAAAUCCUCCUCAUCAUCCCCAUCAAAAUCCUCAUCGUGUUGUCAUCAUCCUCAUCAAAAUCAUCAUCUUCAUAAUCCUCGUCAAAAUCAUCGACUUCGGUAGAAAUUUCUUGUAAGGCCCGUUCGUAAGGGAUAUAAUGGUAAUCAAAAAACGAACCUUUGAAAGUCAUAAGUUUGUCGCAUACUAAACGUACCCCUAUUUUCUUCACCGGACAAUGUGCAAUAACAUGGACCAAAUCGCUUUCUUCCAAAUUGAACUCGAUUUCCGACAACGAUAAAUUUGCCAGCCAAAUGAUCUCUUCAAAGAAAAAAAAUCUCCUAGUUCAACACAAAAACUAGUACCCUUGGUGUGAUUAAUAACAUAAAUAUAACUCGGCCUGAUGUAAUCACGAGGAACAAAAGCCAGGCACACAGCCAAUGCUUUUGCAUUAGAACCAAUUUCCUUAGGCACUUCAAAAGAGACUUGGGUACCCUCGUUUACAUGAUUGAACCAAGUGGGAAUUUGUCUUCCUACAAAACUCAUGGUUCCACCUCCUGUCCAUCCCUAUACCAUGUGGAACAAGAUUUGUGUGAGUACUACAUACAUAACACACAUAUUUGUGAGGGGGGAAGAGAGGGGGGUGGUGUGGAAGAGAGAGAGUACCUGUAUCGUGCUAUCCUUAAGAAGGAAAUCCAUGACAUUGUUGUGUGUUGUCAUAUAAAGAUUGAGUCCCGAGUUUAACGCGCUAUCCAAGCCUGGAAACUCAAUGAGUUUCGGGGAAAAAAGAAUCACUGCUGUCGACAUGCCUGAAAAAUCUGGCAUUCUUUCUAAUACAGAGCAGUCGUCCAUGUGCAGGAAACCCAAACUUUUUGGUAAAUCUGUAAUCUCAACAAGGUUUCUGCAACCAUUCAAGGAUAAUACAAGAAGCUUGGAGAGGCCACUGAGGCUUGGAAGGCUCCCAAAAUUAUUGUCAUCUAGACUUAACUCCACUAAACAAGGUAGACUACUCCCAAUAUCAUUAGGCACUUCCUCUAUAUUGCUGUCCUCCAAAAUUAAGCUUGUCAAAGAGCGUAAACCUUGUAAGGAAGGUAGCUGCAAAGAACACUUCAAUUUACUCAAAGAUAUGCGCUCGAGCUUCUCUAGUCGUACGAUGGAAGGUGGUACUUUUUUUAUGGCCGUCCCAUCUGCAUAAAGAGUGACCAAUGAUGCCAUUUCUCCCAAGUGCUCAGACAAGCUUUGGAAUCUUGAACAACCAUCGAGAACAAGAGUUUUGACAGAUUUCAACUUGUAGAAACUCCUCGGAAGAGCCUUAAGCGUUUCACAGUCCUUCAAAUUCACCAACACAAGACUCUUGAGAUCUCCGAUGGACUUGUGAACUUUAGCCAACCUCUUACAGUCUUUGAGUAUCAAUUUCUCAAGAUUUGGGAAUUUCGAAAAGUUUGGCGAUUGUGUUAGAUCGUGGGAGUGGCUGAGAUUCAGAAUCUUCAACUUAUCAAGCAACUGUUAAGAAAAAUCAAGUUGAAAUAAAAAAUUUAAAUCCAAAAAGAAGAUACAAAAAACAUAAAAAUAAUUCCAAAUUUGGUUCAGG